rnacentral:tRNA from 1 species
GCUGGCGUAGCUCAGUUGGUAGAGCAGCUGAUUUGUAAUCAGCAGGUCAGGGGUUCAAAUCCCCUUGCCAGCUCCA